rnacentral:rRNA from 1 species
AUACGGAGGAUCCGAGCGUUAUCCGGAUUUAUUGGGUUUAAAGGGAGCGUAGGUGGAUUGUUAAGUCAGUUGUGAAAGUUUGCGGCUCAACCGUAAAAUUGCAGUUGAAACUGGCAGUCUUGAGUACAGUAGAGGUGGGCGGAAUUCGUGGUGUAGCGGUGAAAUGCUUAGAUAUCACGAAGAACUCCGAUUGCGAAGGCGGCUCACUAGAAUGUGACUGACACUGAUGCUCGAAAGUGUGGGUAUCAAACAGGAUUAGAUACCCUGGUAGUCCACACAGUAAACGAUGAAUACUCGCUGUUUGCGAUAUACAGUAAGCGGCCAAGCGAAAGCAUUAAGUAUUCCACCUGGGGAGUACGCCGGCAACGGUGAAACUUAAAUGAAUUGGCGGGG